rnacentral:rRNA from 1 species
AACAAACGCUGGCGGCGUGCCUAACACAUGCAAGUCGUACGAGAAAGGGUCCUUCGGGGCCUGAGUAAAGUGGCGCACGGGUGAGUAACGCGUGGAUAAUCUGCCCUUCAGUUGGGAAUAACUCAUCGAAAGGUGGGCUAAUACCGAAUAAUGCUGUGAGACCUCGGUUGAUCAGCCAAAGAGAGCCUCUGCUUGCAAGCCCUCGCUGAAGGAUGAGUCCGCGUACCAUUAGCUAGUUGGUAGGGUAAUGGCCUACCAAGGCGACGAUGGUUAGCUGGUAUGCGGGGAUGAUCAGCCACACUGGAACUGAGACACGGUCCAGACUCCUACGGGGGGCAGCAGUGAGGAAUCUUGCGCAAUGGGGGCAACCCUGACGCAGCAGCGCCGCGUGAGUGAGGAAGGUCUUCGGAUCGUAAAGCUCUGUCGGAUGGAAAGAACCGCAUAGGGGUAAACAGCCCCUGUGUCUGACGGUACCAUCAAAGGAAGCACCGGCUAACUCCGUGCCAGCAGCCGCGGUAAUAC